GCGUGUUGUAGUUUUGGCAGCUUUAUUUGGCUGCAUUAUCAAGUGACGAAAUAAUCCUCUUUUACCCCAGGGGAUAUGAUUUGGUUUGGUUUUUUUCUUUCUUUCUUUUUUUUUUUUUUUUUUUUUUUUUUUUUUUUUUAACUUGAUAAAUCCUGCUUGUAAAUAGCUGGAGCUAAAACCUGGGGCUGAGAGCAAAUGAGAACCAGGGCUGUAGAGUGAUAUGGACUGGUGGAGUAUUUUACUGACCUCACAGGCUGAUCUACUUGAGACUUGGAGAUUUUCAGUGCAAGGCUGAGAUGCCGCAGCACCUCCAAUGGCAGCGACGGACUUGCCCCUUCACACGGUCUCCCCAGCACCUCCCAUUGCCAGGUACCACCGGGGAACAGGACGUGUCCCGAGUGGGAUGCGUUCCCUUCCCCUAGAUCAUUUCCUAGGACGCCCGAGCCGCUUGCCCAGGGUCCCAUUUCCCUGCUGACUCUGGAGAAGCAGUAUCUGCAUCCCAGGGCUUUGUGACAGCCUCUAACCUCCCGCCCUCCCUCGUUAAGUAUCAUAUUGUAUAGUAGCUUUCAGACCAUACAGUAUUCAUUGGGUUAUUCCUCUUAUUAUCAAGUAGCUGGAAUUGUGAAGGUCGGAGUAGUUAGAUCUUUAGCUUUUAUUCCUUUUUUUUGUAUUACUAUCCAUGUGUAUAAAUUAUUGAUCAUGUUGCUGGCUUUUAUAAACUUUAAGCAAGGGGGGAAACCCUUCCUAACCCUUUGCAAAUGGUAAUGAAGCACUGUUUUUAAAUAAAAGAGAGAAACACCAG